rnacentral:lncRNA from 1 species
GCUGGCAAUUGGUGUAAUAUUUUCAUAACAAAUCCGAAGGGAAAAAAGGAAAGGGAAACCCAAAAAACAUAAUCAUUGGCAAUUGUUCACAAAAAUUCUGAAAAAGAAUAUUGUCUGGCCACUAAACAUGGUAUUUUGCGCGAACAGAUUUGAGGUUGCUUAUUUCCUUUUUUUCGGGAUACCUUGAAAUGGUUUUACUGAACACUUUAUUUUUCUUGGGUGUGUCGAAAAAUUUGAUCCGAUCUGUGAAGGAAAAAGUUUUUUAAAAUGUGGAUAUUGUGAUAGAAACAGAUGUGAAGCAUAUUAUUUUAAUAUAUUGUGUUUAACAUUUUAAAAUAUUGUGCCUAACAUUUUAAAAUAUUGUG